CAGGCCUAACACAUGCAAGUCGAACGAGAAAGUGGAGCAAUCCAUGAGUACAGUGGCGUACGGGUGAGUAACACGUGACUAACCUACCUNNGAGUGGGGNAUAACUNCGGGAAANCUGGGCUAAUACCGCAUAANAUCUNNAGAUCAAAGNAGCAAUNCGCUUGNAGAGGGGGUCGCGGCUGAUUAGCUAGUUGGCGGGGUAACGGCCCACCAAGACGAUGAUCGGUAUCCGGCCUGAGAGGGCGCACGGACACACUGGAACUGAAACACGGUCCAGACUCCUACGGGAGGCAGCAGUGGGGAAUUUUGCGCAAUGGGGGAAACCCUGACGCAGCAACGCCGCGUGGAGGAUGAAGUCCUUCGGGACGUAAACUCCUUUCGAUCGGGACGAUUAUGACGGUACCGGAAGAAGAAGCCCCGGCUAACUUCGUGCCAGCAGCCGCGGUAAUACA
rnacentral:rRNA from 1 species